AUAUAUGCCUGCGGGAGCCGUUAACGGACGGCUGAGAGGGAGCAGUCAGCUCCGACCGCAAGACCUGAUCCGGGUAAUGCCGGCGUAGGGAAGGGUUUACAUACUGUU
rnacentral:ncRNA from 2 species